rnacentral:misc_RNA from 1 species
GGAAUGCACCUUACUACGCUUCAGAUAUGAUAGCCCAGGCCAUAGUCUUCAUGAUACUAUUUGGCAUGGUGGGCAUGGUGAUGGUUCAGGUGGUUCUGGUUCUGUUUCUGGGCCUGACACUCGCCUCCAUGCAACUCUUCCUGAGACGGGCAGUCUCUCCAAACGACAAAAACAAGGCCAAUCUAGAGAAGACUGGAUCUAAGGGUGAGAGUUCGAGCGCCAAACGAUGAGGCGGCAGAACAUGAAGCAGACAAAUGACCCGAGAGUAUUAUGUGGAGGAGAUUGGAAGGUCCAAGAACGCGCGACUUUUAGGUGUGGACCGAUUAAAGCCUUUGCGGAAGGAUACAGACGUUCUGUAUCUCUACGGGCCUCGGUCUCACCUCAUGUCGCGUGCUAAUUAAACCCUCUUGAUUCUAAGCGACCCCCUUUUCUUCACUCCUGGAAAGUACUUGCACCUAUAAGUCUUCUCCUUAUGGUAUCUCCAUGCUUUCCCCUGUACAAUUACACCUGAACUUUUGCAAUAAAGACAUUCAACACAAUGCGACGACAUUUGAAUACUGAAAUAUUUUAUAUAUAUAGCCCUUAAUACAUUUGACCAU